CGGGAAUGUAGCAAUACAUUGCCGGCGACCGGCGGAUGGGUGCGUAACGCGUAUGCAACCUACCUAUACAGGGGAAUAACCUUUCGAAAGGGAGACUAACACCCCAUAGUAUUGAUUUAAGGCAUCUUAGAUUAAUUAAAUAUUUAUAGGUAUAAGAUGGGCAUGCGUAUGAUUAGCUAGUUGGUAAGGUAACGGCUUACCAAGGCGACGAUCAUUAGGGGUUCUGAGAGGAAGGUCCCCCCACACUGGUACUGAGACACGGACCAGACUCCUACGGGAGGCAGCAGUGAGGAAUAUUGGUCAAUGGGCGCAAGCCUGAACCAGCCAUGCCGCGUGCAGGAAAAGACGGCCUUAUGGGUUGUAAACUGCUUUUACAUAAGACUAACCGUAUAUUUGCGAAUAUACCUGAAUGUAUUAUGAGAAUAAGGAUCGGCUAACUCCGUGCCAGCCGCUGC
rnacentral:rRNA from 1 species